GACGAACGCUGGCGGCGUGCUUAACACAUGCAAGUCGAACGGAAAGGCCCUGCUUUUGUGGGGUGCUCGAGUGGCGAACGGGUGAGUAACACGUGAGUAACCUGCCCUUGACUUUGGGAUAACUUCAGGAAACUGGGGCUAAUACCGGAUAGGAGCUCCUGCUGCAUGGUGGGGGUUGGAAAGUUUCGGCGGUUGGGGAUGGACUCGCGGCUUAUCAGCUUGUUGGUGGGGUAGUGGCUUACCAAGGCUUUGACGGGUAGCCGGCCUGAGAGGGUGAACGGCCACAAUGGGCCUGAGGUACGGACCAGACUGCUACAGGAGGCAACAGUGGGGAAUAUUGCACAAUGGGAGGACGCCUGAUGCAGAAACGCCGCGUGCGGGAUGACGGCCUUCGGGUUGUAAAACGCUUUCGCCUGUGACGAAGCGUGAGUGACGGUAAUGGGUAAAGAAGCACCGGCUAACUACGUG
rnacentral:rRNA from 1 species